rnacentral:rRNA from 1 species
GCCGCGGUAAUACAGAGGGUGCAAGCGUUAAUCGGAAUUACUGGGCGUAAAGCGCGCGUAGGUGGUUCGUUAAGUUGGAUGUGAAAUCCCCGGGCUCAACCUGGGAACUGCAUUCAAAACUGACUGGCUAGAGUAUGGUAGAGGGUGGUGGAAUUUCCUGUGUAGCGGUGAAAUGCGUAGAUAUAGGAAGGAACACCAGUGGCGAAGGCGACCACCUGGACUGAUACUGACACUGAGGUGCGAAAGCGUGGGGAGCAAACAGGAUUAGA